UGACCGCUGUGGGGAAGCCGGCGCCGCCCAGGCCGUUGAUGCCGGCCUCGCGGAUCAGCGUCAGCAGUUCGGCGGGUUCCAGGCUGCGGUAGUCAG
rnacentral:tRNA from 1 species